UAGCCUUGACAUACUACAGAAUUUGACAGAGAUGUUGGAGUGCCUUCGGGAGCUGUAAUACAGGUGCUGCACGGCUGUCGUCAGCUCGUGUCGUGAGAUGUUGGGUUAAGUCCCGCAACGAGCGCAACCCUCGUCCUUAGUUACUAACGGUUCGGCCGAGGACUCUAAGGAGACUGCCUUCGUAAGGAGGAGGAAGGUGAGGACGACGUCAAGUCAUCAUGGCCCUUACGGCUAGGGCAACACACGUGCUACAAUGGUUAGGACAGUGAGAAGCGAUACCGCGAGGUGGAGCAAAUCUAUAAACCUAAUCUCAGUUCGGAUAGCAGUCUGCAACUCGACUGCUUGAAGCUGGAAUCACUAGUAAUCGUAAAUCAGCUAUGUUACGGUGAAUACGUUCCCGGGUCU
rnacentral:rRNA from 1 species